GCUUUAACCCACUGAACCACCCAGGCGCCCUGGUCUUCUGACAGCACGCCUGAUUUGAGAUCUGUGUCGACCUUAGAAAACUUCCACCCCCCAACUGAUUCCUGUUUACAGAAUUGAAGUCCAAAGAAAAGAUAAUAAAAAGACUGUAAAAAUUU